CUGACAGUGCUUCAAAUUCAUUCUGUUGACUCCCGAAAGCUUAGUAGAUCCUGACUGUUAUUCUAAAUCUUAUAACGUGACACCUCUUUCCAUUAACCUUUUUUAGUAUAAAUCCUCACAGAUGUGUGUAAUUUCCUGAUGAUCCCACGUAUUUCUGCAUAGGUUUAUUUUAUGCUGUAUCUCCCAUUAAUUGCCUUCUCUGCUUCUUGAUGACUGGUUAGUCACUUAGUCUGCCAGAGACAAGUGAUGCUGCCUCAUACUCAUUCCUCAUUGGCUGGAGCGGAAGUCAGUAUGCCUUUUAAAAACAGUUUCCUUAAGGUCUCUUUAUCAUUGAUAUCUUCAUAUGAGUGUUAGAAUUGCGUGUUAGAUUUAAAUGUCAGAGUUUUGGGGAAGGGAAAUCUCUGUGGGUCUUCUAGGGCACAGCACCCUGGCAUCUACCAAAUUGCCCUGAUCUCAAGGAAUGGUGGGAUUGGGAGAUGAUACAGCUUCAGUCCCCCAACAGUGAGAUCGGUGAGAUCGUGGACCUCGAACAGGUGCAGCCUAGCGGGAGGAAGUAUUGCAGGAAAUAAGGAAGGAGCAACAUCAGCACUUUCCUGUAUUUAUUGUGGGGAGUCCAAGAGGGCCUCUGCAGAGUCACCACUUAAAGCUCCCCUUUGCGGAUCUGUAUGCCUCUAAUGAAUGGAAAUGAAUGGUAACUCAAGACCCUUGGUGAGCAGCUGGGUCAACCAAAAUAUUUCAUGGUGUCCUAGGGAAUAAGAAAAUCAAAUUCCAAAAUGGAUGCAACUAGAGACCAUACCCAUAAAUGAAGUAAACCAGAGUCACAUGCGUCAACAUUAUACGUCUCCCUGGUGUGAGGAACUGAAAGCAUACAUAAGGUCCAAAAUGAACAAUAGAUACUGUGAAACGGGAAGAAGUGAUUUAAAAGGAAAAAGGAACCAGGAUGGGGAAGGGGGAAAGAAAGAAGGGAAAAGGAAAAAAAAAACCCAAAUACAAGAUAGUUAUACUACUAAUUUCUCUUAGUUCAUUGACAAGAAAGGUUUGUGUUAAUAUCAUUUGGAGAACUUUUAAAGCCCGUAUCUUGUACUCUGAUUAACUACUUUAGAGAGAACAAUACUUGCUGUAUGAACUAUUGUUGUUAUCUUACUAUUUUAUUAUGAAAUUUUGAUUUACUUUUUUUCCAUUAAAAAAAGAAAAAGAAAAUCAAACUCUGACUCACUUUCCCAAGGAUCCCAGGGGAACUGUACACCUGUGUACUAAGUGACAGAUGGUUCAAUCUUCCUUCCCUUCAUCUACCCCACUCGAUGUUUAAAAAUAAGAUGCCUGUGUCCUUCUGGGACAUUUUGAAGCUGAGUGUUGCUGUCCUUCUAAAUCUAUGGUUUUCCUUUUAGGACAAGCUUGUGAGCAGAGCCAGAUUAUUAGGUUGACCUCCAACCUGAUAUACUAUAGCAUAGUAUUUACCUAGAACAUAAAAGGCAUUUCAGAGAUUUAAUAAAAAGAUGGUUUAAUGUAUAAAUGCUAAGUAAACAAAAACAGGUAUUGAAAGAGUUUUGGCCCAGACAGGACACUGUAGCCAGUAAAGCCUCAGGCGGGACCGAGGAGCUCCAUCUCCCCCCCGCCCUAGGGAUUUACCUAUGGCGCCAAAAGAAUACCAAUGGGCUACCUGUGCAUCACUAAUGCCCCUUAGGUUCCACCCCAAACCUAGGCUACUUAUAUGCCCCCACUCCACGUGUUCCACGGAGAGAUCGCCAACCCCGGGGGGAGAUGCCACACCCCUGGGGAUCGGGGGUGUCUCUCCACGCAUUCUCAAAAUAAAGGUCAUUUAUAUUUCAUACUUCUUAUCUUUUCAGCCACUGCUGGUCCCCCCCAGUUCUGUGGUAUGGUUCCCUGACCGGGAACGGCAGAUGAGAGACUCCUGGGCCCUCCCAGUUUGAGCCCCCUGCCAUUCAGGACCAGGACCUGACUACAUCCUGCAUUAGUUCCUCACUUCUACACUCUGGAGCUGUAAACUUGUCACUGCUCGCUCACAAACAACACCAACCCAAUUUACCACAGGUGAGCAACCCUCGGAGAUUGCCGCUGGGCCAGGCCCCAGGCGGGUUUUCUCCCCCUUUCUGUGGGUUCGCAUGACACUCUCACGUCCUUAGAUAGCCUAAGGCAGGGUCUUUCUGGGCCAACCUGUGUCCACACUGGGAGACUCUCACGUCCUUCAGAGCUUUUUAAGUUCUCAUGGGCAGAGCUGUUACUAAACCCACAUGAAAUCCGCUUGUAUAUUGGUGACAGCCAAUUAUUACAAGUUUUGGAACCAUAAAAUACCGAUCUGUCUAGAGUAAAAAGUGACGACUUUAAACUUAGUAGACCACAGUCCAUUGCUUCAUCUGGCUAUAACUCUGUGGGCCAGACCCUACACCAGAUUUUAUCUUGGGGACCACUUCCUGUCCCCCUCAAAAAACCAUUCCUAUUUAUAGCUUAUCACACUGGUGACAAGUUUACAAAGCUCUCUAUCUUUAAGCCUUUGUUUUGGGAAUGUGCAUCCUUUCCCUUCCAGGAUCCCUCCCCCUCCCCACACUUAAAGAGAUAAUAGCGUCCUUCCUUGCAGCCUUUCAGAGCUUUCUCAGCGUCUCCUUUCCUCCCUGCUUCCCCUCCCACCCCGCUGCAAGCCGACCCAUUCCCCGCUGAGAUAAAAAAAGAUGAGCCCAAACAGUGUUGAGAGAUCCCUGUGGGCUACUUUAAGCUCUCAUGCCGCGCUCCAGCCCAAACAGUGUUGGGAGAUACUGCUGCUUUAGGCUUUCACGCUGUGGCCCAACGCUGCGUGGUAUCUUGGCUCUCAUGCCACGCUCCAAGUCCAUGCGGGGUCUGCUCUAACACCGUGCCCUAAUCCGUGUGCCCCGUGAACAGUUCCAGUUCCAUGUGGCAGCUCAGCUCUGUGCUGGUCCAUUGGUCUGCCAGUGUGUAAGAUCCCAGUUUCGUGCUGCAUCCCAACUCCGCCUCCCAGCCCCGCCCCCCAUGUGUAGCCAUCACCACUGCCACCCUGCGCAUGUUUCCAGGGACAGUCCCAGUUUGCCCUGCGUGCUACAUCCCGGCGCUCACCCCGUCUUCACUCUGUGUACCCAACCUCCACGCUCCACCGGUGCGCCAAAACAUAAACAGUAGCUCGGCAGCUUGGCUCAGAGAGAUGACAAUAACACUUGUGACACUGGGAGUUCUGAGACAGGUAAACCGACACAAGGUGGAGCUUCCUGCCCCCUCCCCAUGGACCAUUCCUCAAAUGCAGCAGAAGACAUUGGGCAAGAGAGUGCUCCAUCCUGGCAUUCUUUGAGACCUUACCCCAGGGCUCCUGGACUGUCCUAGCCACCAGAGAGUGAGUAAGCCAUCCUGACUUCUAGCCCUCACAGGAAAUGCCAACAUUGCCAGAUUCAUCAUUGACAGAUCUGCUUAAACUUGCUGCUAAAGACUGAUGGGGCUCAGGGCCAACAACAGCCCCCUUUAUGGGUGUCCAAGCAUCCAAGUUCCACUAAAAGUCUCAGGUGUAACAUAUAUGCUUUCACCAGUGAAGUUGUCCUGGCUAAAACACCUGGCACCAGCUUCUACAUGGGCAUCAAUUGUCAUCCUGUCCUAGGCUUCAGUACAUCCCCUAGGCUCCAGUACACCGCCUUCUUCCAGCAGGAAGCAGUUAAAGAAAGAAAUCUUUGCCCCUUUUUGAAAUAAUAAUCAUAAGACGGGAUAUGAAAAAGUUUUGGCCCAUACAGGACACUGUAGCCAGUAAAGCCUCAGGCGGGACCAAGGAGCUCCAUCUUCCCCACCCCUAGGAAUUUACCUAUGGUGCCAAAAGAAUACCAAUGGGCUACCUGUGCAUCACUAAUGUCCCUUAGGUUCCACCCCAAACCUAGGCUACUUAUAUGCCUCCACUCCACGUGUUCCACAGAGAGAUCGCUGACCCCGGGGGGAGAUGCCACACCCCAGGGGUUUGGGGGUGUCUCUCCCUACAUUCUCAAAAUAAAGGUCAUUUAUAAUUCAUACUUCUUAUCUUUUCAGCCGCACCGCUGGUCCCCCACAGUUCUAUCAGGUAUCAAUAUAUUAAUCAAAAAUAGGUUAAU